GGACCUGACUGCUAUCGGAUUGAUACUAAGCCAUGCGAGUCAUUGUAGCAAUACAAGGCAGACGGCUCAGUAACGCGUAGUCAACCUACCCUAUGGACGGGAAUAACCUCGGGAAACUGAGUAUAAUGCCCGAUAGAACAUUAUACCUGGAAUGGUUUAUGUUCCAAAUGAUUUAUCGCCGUAGGAUGGGACUGCGGCCUAUCAGUUUGUUGGUGAGGUAAUGGCCCACCAAGACUAUUACAGGUACGGGCUCUGAGAGGAGUGGCCCGGAGAUGGGUACUGAGACACGGACCCAGGCCCUAUGGGGCGCAGCAGGCGAGAAAACUUUGCAAUGUGCGAAAGCACGACAAGGUUAAUCCGAGUGGUUUCUGCUAAAGGAACCUUUUGUCAGUCCUAGAAACACUGAUGAAUAAGGGGUGGGCAAGUUCUGGUGUCG
rnacentral:rRNA from 1 species